CUCCGCUGCGCUCCUACAGUUGGGCCCUUCUUUCUCCACCUCCCUCCCCCUCCCGCGCGUUGCUCCGGCUUGUGUUCCCGGGUUCCCUCCCCGGCGCGUCUUUCCCGGCCCGCCCGGUGCAUUGUGGGCUGACGUCUUGGUUUGGCUGUCUAGUGACGGAGGCUGCCGGGUCCGCUGGACCCUUGCGGAGUCUGUCGGAGGCGGGCUCAAGUUCAGGGCUGGGGACCCAGACCGAGACGCGGGGAUCCAGAAAGCUGGGGAGACGCGCUGGUGGCCUGGGGCGGAGGGCUUGGGUGGGAGUAGAGGUUACACACACACACACACACACACACACACACACACACACACACACACACACACACACGAACACACGAACACACCCGUGAAAGGGCUGAAUGAUCUGGGCGAUUGAAGCUGGCUCCGCACCCCCGCACUUCCGGGAGACAGAGCGACGCGGGUUAAUAUGGUUGUGUUCGCCCCGGGUGCGGGAGCGGCAAGUGGGUUGAAGUUGAGCGGGUUUGAGAGUGGCCCUCCCACGCCGAGUGCGCAUGGAAGUUUAGUUUCGGAGAAGGAUCUGCGCCGCAGUGUGCUGUGCUGGAAACCAGAGAUUUGCUGUGCUCGGAAUGAAUUCACCAGGGUCCCCGGCACAACACUUCAUUUUCUGGGGACGUGCCGGGAGGGGUUCGCUUUACCUCGGAGGGACCCCCUUCUAGGUGUGAAAGAUGCCACCCCGGCUCCUUGGGGUAUGGAAAGCAACAUAUAAAGGUUCGAAACUCAGGAAACCCCAGCGCUCGCCUGCACUAGCACAUACACACAGCCCCGCGCACACUCAGUUCGCGCCCGCCCUUCCUCCCUCCCUGAUUUGCUUCUGGGAAAACAAGCCUUGAGAGCUGCGGACUCGCCCCGAGUCACGGUGCUUAAGCAGGAGUCCCUGGUAGAAAGACUGAAAAAUCCCCUCCCCGCUCGAUGGUGGAUUCAUAUCCUGUGCGGCCUCUAGGAAGCGCUAGACACAUCUAUCUUGGGAGGCAUACAUUUUUACCUAGACUUUUCGUGGAAGGAAAUGGUCCCAGAAAGUUCAUGCGUCUUGCUUGGGGUAUACAGACAGCUGGAAAGUGAGCUCAGGCUUGCUUCAGAAAGUCACACAUCUUCCCAUGUCACCUGACAAUACAAGGGACUUCAAGGACAUACAGAAGAACAGAGUCCUUGGUCUCUGAAUGACCCUGUGGAAGGAUACUCACUGGCCAGAAGUAGUCCUUCCAGACUUUGAAUGACAAAUCAACUUCAUUGUGCUGGUCCACUGGGAUUUUGGAGUAAAGAUGGCAAUAUCUUCUAAUUCCACUUGGUGUUUAGGAUGCCCUUCAUAAGAAGAAACCCUGGGUCAAAGUUGAGGCUUAUGUUCUGGCUUUCCCAGCUUGAAAAGAAAGAAACUUGUAUACUGUCACCUUCCUAUUGAGGGUGCAAACUUCAUGAGGUAUGUUAGGUAUGUGUUUGUCUUUUUCUGUUUCUCAUCUUUGAGUGGGUGUUUAUUGAAAUGCCAGGUGCUUUUCAGUUGUAUUUCUGAAUGCAAGCAGUACAUAUUGUUAAACAUUUUAUUAAUAUAUUCAAUAUUUUUGAGUGUUUAUUGCAUUUUAGCAACUGGUAAUCAUUGCUAAGCAAGAGCUUCUCGGCAUGCCCAUUGGAGGAGGUAUAGCAAGGGAAAUGGAUGAGAGAGAAGACAGGGUGAGGCCAGCCUGAUAGUGUUCUGAGUUACAGGAUUCCUGUGUGGAAGGGCCUCUCUGCUAAGGAAAGAGGUUGAAGAAAGUGCUUUGGAAAAACUGGUUAAUCAGCAGAAACUUCCAAAGUAGGUGGGAAUAGCUGGAAGAAGAGGAGACGUCAGAGAGGACGUAUUCUAGGAAGAGGGGAUGUAGAUGUUACGGACCAGGGCAUAUUUGGAGCUGUAAAGGAGGGGUGAGGUGGAGGGACUUGGAAUAGAUACAUCUGUGCACAUGCUUAAAAGCCUUGGUAGGCUUUAUAAUGUGGUCAAGCACCAUAUGAAAAGUGUUUAUUUUCCUAGGAGAAGAUGUACCACAGCCAUCAGGAUGUAGCCAUUUGUGUAGUUUCUACUUUAUUGUGUUAUGCUCUUUGUUUCAGAGUUUUCUACAGUGAACAUGCUUUACACUUGCAGAUAGAUAGAUAGAUAGAUAGAUAGAUAGAUAGAUAGAUAGAUAACCCCAACAUGUUUUCCAUCUGAUUAGUUGUGAUCCUAUCACCUGGCCCUUGAAAGAAGUCCUCUGGAAGAGCUGAGGCACAGAGAUGAUUUCCAGUGAAGCUCAAAGUCGUUCAUGGAGAUGUUAUUGGAUUGCGCUGGGGACCGCAGUUCCUUGAUAAUGAGUAAUUGUUUGCUCAAGCUUUAGCCAAGUGUAAAUAUAAAUAUAACCGGGAUGGUUUACCCGUCCAUUGCCAUCCAUGCACUACUGUACCGAGUGCUGUGGCUGACGUGAGAACUGAAUGCAUGGAGCUGCAAUGGUGGACUCCAGGCCUGCUUCGUCAUCGUCAGAUAUGUCAUUUAACAGCUGAGCCUCGCUUUCCUCACAUGAAAAAUGAUUGCGAUGAUUGAUAUUUACCUCAGAGAAUUUAAAUGGGACUGCCACCGUACCUAUGGGAAAGUCACUGCUGAACUGGUGACAUUUCUGUAUAUAUGUAUGUUAUUUAGUGUUUAUAUAUUUAUACGUGGAUUCCUGAAAUAGCAGUUCCGCAGAGUUGAGCAUUAGAAAACAGCUGGUCUUUUGCAAGGCCCAGUUUGAGGCAGACCAUACAAGCUGCUAGAAUACCCUGGCCACAGUGUUAAGACAAAACUGAAAGAAACACAAACUGAAAGAGAUUUGAAUGAGGAAAUACACCCACACUUACAUGCUAACAGCUAAUAGGGGACUUUACUUUGAAGCUAGCCAAGGUUGCUUGACAGAAGGCUGAGAAAAGAUGAGGCUGCUGAGUGAAGCCAGAGAGAUUAUGCUCAAAGUCAAGUAGAUACCAUACAAUAAGCUUUUCCAAGGUCUAUCAUCUUGGGAGGAAAAACAAACCAAACCAAAACCCUUAUAUUGCUGUCUUCCCACUGGUCAGCAGACUUUCAGUAACUCUGCCUUGCUGUAAGGUGCAUCACAGUGUUGUGCAUUAGAGCAGUGUGGGCCACACAGGCAACUGGCAUGUUUCAAACUUCCACAGAUUUCUUGGCUUCAUUAUCAGGAGAAGUAUGCGAUCCCAUAGGUAAUGUUCAGUAAGAGAUGUAUCUGUCCUGCCCCGUCUCAGACUGAUCACGUUCUGCCCUCUGUCUCCUUGGCUGUAGGGCUCCUCUUCACUGGCUGUGAACUCCUUAAGUAAGGUUCCUGAUGUUCAUGUUUGUUCUCUAAGGUUGAGCACAGGGUCGGUCCCUGGAACAGAGCCGUUGCAUUGCAGUUGAACUUCUAGUAGCCAAGGCAAACCUCUGGACCCUCUGUGGUAGCACCAGGAUCCACCAACAGGCAACACAAGCUGAGGCCCGGAGGCUUCUGUGGGACCAUGUAUGAUUCCACUUCAUCUCCUGCAACCCUGUUGCUCUCCAAUAUGGCAAGAGGAGCAUUGGGUCUUCCUCCUUUGUUAAGACAUUUAUACCAGUUGAGCAAGAAGUCGGUGCUAGAGCGGCAGCAGCCGGUUUGGAGCGCAGUCUCUUCCUCAUGGAACCCUGGCCGGAUCACUGGUCUUCACCACCACUGUAAACUUCUAAAUUCCCUCUUGUUAAACAAAUUAGAGUGGGUUCAAGGUUAUAUUUUGAUAUUAAUAGUUUUACCCUCAUCGCCCCGUGAUCAAAGAGAAAAGGGUAAGGGGACAACUAUCAGCUGGAACUGUAGUACACUUUCCUUCUCUUACAGACCUAGUGCUUCCAAUGCGCCCUGGCUGUCUCUCCACACUCUCAAGGUCUUCUUCACUCAUCUUCUUGGCUGUGUGGAUCUGAAAACACACAGCGUUUGUCCGUAAUCUCAUCCUCAUCCACACUGACUGUGGAUAACCGGAUGUGUUUUGUGAGGCCCCUCAGUCUCAACAUGGUUUUACAGACUCGGUCCUAAGCAGAUAAAACAACUAAGCUUCACAGAGGUGAGGUAACUUCCUCUGCCAUCCAGGUAGGACUUAACAGAAGGUGGGGUUUACAUCUGGUUCCACGUGAUUCUCCACUCAUCCGCACUCCACCACUCCCCAGGUGGAUGGUCAGGGUCAGGAGCCUCGUGAGUGAGAACAACAGGUCUGUCGAGUUCUGCAGGGCUGAGCUGUUUAUCAUUGCGGAGGACACUCAUCACUGUGCUAAUUACAUUAAUUGCUGCCCACUCUGAGGCUAGCUCCUUCCUGCAAUGGCCCAAGACUGUAAUUACAGGUUGGAUUGGUUGGAAGUUGGUUGCUCUCUACCAUGUAGGGGAAAGGUCAAGACUAUGAACAUUGCUCUUCAUCAGACGCCUUACUGGAAGCAGAGAGGAAGGAUGAGGGUUCCUGUGGUAAUCUCAUGAUUCUCUAGAAGCAGGUGCUCUCCUACCCUCAUUCUGUUUGAGGGAGCCUGGUCAGCUGCUUGGAGUCCAAGAGCUAGCGGGAGAGGAGACAGUCUGAAAGCAGGAACCAUCAGAAGUCAUCCUUAGUGCCCAUAACAUAGUACCCCUCACCAGGACACUGCUCUGUCUGACACUGAAGUAUUGGCAGGGUCGGGCAAGGUGCCAACAAGUGGGUUUUGUCUAUCCCUAAAUGAUGACUGCUUGAGAUCUCACCUGCUCUGCCUUCCUUCCUGAGAUUCCAAGAGAAAUUGCUUGGAAGUGUAUUAAAUGCAAACUAAGUCAGAUGUAAGCCAUGGUGUUUUUCUGUUUGAUCUGUUAAGAGGUAAUUUGGAGACUACUUCUGCAUACUUGUUGAACAGAGACAGAGUGGCUUUGGUAAUUCAUCAUAAUUGAGUAAGUGACUUAACUUCCACAGAAAGCAGAGGAUAAUUUGGGAAGUCACUGGCUUUGGAAUGCUGUAUGUUCAUGUACUUUAUGGGUGUGCCCAUAUCAUUUGUGUGGGUAUAAAUGUCAAUGAGUUUGUGUGUGUGUAUGUGUGUGCAUGCGUACUCAUGUAUACGGGUGUGUGUGUGUGUGUGUGUGUUCCUGUCACACUUCCUGCCAGAGUUCAAAUUUGAAUGUCCGCUGAAAACCAUGUGUUAAAAACUUGGUCCUCAGCCUGAUGCUACCGGAAGAUGCAUCUAGAAGUUCCUUCAGUAGGUGAGGUGUAGUGGGGCACGCUCUAGAAGAGGAAGGGGGAAAUGGGUACAUUUCUCUUUUUGUCUUUUCCAUAAGGUGAGUGGACUUCUUUGGAUAAGCACUCCUGCCAUGCUGUUCUGUGUCACAGUCACAAGACAAGGAAGCCAAUCAGUACCAGACUGAAACCCCCCAAACUGUGAGCCCUCCUUCAGACUGACUUGCCAGCACUCUUCUUAAAGCAGAAAGCUGACUAGCACACCCACCAACCUUCUAUGAACGAGAUUUGAGCUCUGUUCUACUAAUCUUAAUGCAUUCUAUAAUUACAUAGGGAAGUAAGGAUAUUUGGAAGUAGACCAGAGUGUAUCUUGGUUCCGCCUUUAUUAACUGCCAUGCCUUGGACAAGUCACUUCACCUCUCUGGGCACUGAUUUCUCAUUUCUAAAAAUAGGGAUAAUAACAGUCCUGACUUGAUGGCACUCCUACAGGCUAGGAGGUUUCUGAGGGCAGGAACUAUGUUUAUAUACUGUUCUGUCCUCAGCCAGAAUGAGGUUUGAGCUGAGUGUGGCCUUGGAACUUAAGGUAAUACUUCUAUUCUGAAUCCAAUAUUUCCCAAUUGGCUGAGCAGCCUUGGAGAAAUUACCUAAUGUUCCUGAGCCUCAGAUUUCAUACCUAUGGAAUAGAGAUUUUUUAUUCCUCCUUGAAAUGAUUGCUGUGUGGUAAGGUGAGACCUACAAAGGCUUGUGUGGCAGAUGGUUAGCACAUAGGAGGCAGCUGGCAAAGCUUGCUUCUCUCAAAGUCUAGUCUCUGUCCUAGAGUGUUACCUUCACCAACAGGUAUUGAAUUUCCACUUGAUCUGAAAAUCUCGUAUUUGGAUCUUCACCACCACACCCGUCUUUCCCAUUUCUUUCUUUCCUUUCCUUUCCCUGUGUUGCCCUCUCAUUCGGCUCUGCUGUGACUGAGUUCCUCUGGACCAACAGUAGGCCCUGGAUGCUCAGCCCUCUCACUAGCCUCGCCUCCCUCAACCUCUCCUUCCACAACCCUGGGCAGAUCUUGUUCUCAUGGACUGCUUCCAGCACAGGCUACUGCCUCAGCUCUGGCCUAACUGGCUGUGUGAGCCUUCUGGUAAACUCUGGCUUUACUAUGGCAGAACAGUAGAGACAGAAAGAGGGACCUCAAAACAAACACAAGAAACUGGUUAACCCAAAAAGACGGAAUGCGCUUCUCUAACAAAUGGAACACGCACAAGAAAUGGGUUUGCAUACAUGUACCUGCUCUUUGGAGUAUAUGCUCACUGCCAACCCCUUAUUCCUCUCUUUUCUCUCCCCCAUCUCUCGCUCUUGGUUUUUUAUCUUUUUGGCUUUUCGAGACAGGGUUUCUUUAUAUGGUCCUGGCUGUCCAGGAAUUUGCUAUAUACAAGUUGGCCUUGUAUACGAAGGAUGGCCUUGAACAGAGAUCUGCCUGUCUCUGCCUCCCCAGUUGCUGGAGUUAAAGGCAUGUGCCGGCACCCCUGGCCUCUUGAUAGACUGUCCUUAUUUCUGUUUCUAAUCAUGUGACCCAUGCCCAAUUCUUUGCCACAGGACACAAGAACCUAGAUAUGGAUUCAAAUCCCUGCCUCUCACAGCAUCCCUAGUGCCAGCUCACUCUGGGUGGUAGCAACCACCAAUGGCUCCUGGCUGUGAUGGGAUAUUUCCAGAACUUUCUUGGUUUGAGGCUUUACACCUGUCAUCUCUCUUCCUUCUGAGGAUCUGCUGACUGGCACUCUUACUUCCUCAGGCCUCAGCUUACAGGCUGCCUCCUCAGAAAGCCCCCCUCCAUGGCUUAUGCAAAAUAAUACCACAAUUGCUCCUGAUCCCCUCCAUUUCGGCUUCCUUCUUCUCACCUGUAAGUGAUCCAGUAUGAAUUCAUUCAUUCAUUCAUUCAUUCACUCUAUUUUCAGUGACAGGGACUGAAGCCACAUUCUCAAUGUGUGCUAAGUCUGUGUUCUUAAUUUAUUCUUAAUUGUUUCUCUCCCUUAGGUAGCUUGUGAGCAUAUAAAAACAGGUUGUGUGAGCCUUCUGCAGACCAUGACACAUAGUAGGUGCUUAGACAAAACACACCAUGGUUUGAAUGUGUGUGACCACUUAUGAAAUAGUAGGGAGGGGCCUACAGGAUGUGUUAGGCAAUUCCAGGCCUAUAUGGUCCACUGGGCAAAUGACAAGGCCUUAAUGAAGUCAGGUCCCCCUAAAGGCUUCUGUGGAAGUCCUACUGUGUGCACAAUAGGUUCAGGAGCAGGGUCGUGGCAUCAACACAAUGAAAAGCACAGUUCCUGCUGGCUUUUGUGCUCUGUGGCUCCUAUAACAAUUACAAGCUUGGUAGCUUAAAUAGUAAAAAUUUAUUUUCUCACAAUUACUAGACACCAGGACAUCUGAAACUAAGGUGUUAGUUAGCAGGGCUGAGCUCCUUUGGUGGCCUCUCCCCUGUGGAGAGUUGUUUCACUUUCAGCAGCAUAACUUUGAAAGUGUUUUCACUGUGUCUCUCUGUAUCCCAAAUCUCUUUCUUUCUCUGAUAAGAACACACGGUUGAAUAGAAAGCUUGUUCUGAACCUCAAGUGAUCUCUCUUUGAAACCCUUCCUGCUCCAAAGACCCCACUUCCAAAUUAGGUCCCCUUCAUAAGGACUGGAGCUGAGGACCUGGCUGUAUUGUUUAACUCACCACGGUGCCUUCCAGGAAUGUCUUGUCUGAGAGUGGGACAGGCACAGCUUAGCAAUCAGUGUCCCAAGCAAGAGUGAGACCAACCAUUAUGGCCUUAGGCAGAGAUUAUUCAGUAUAUUUUAGUCAAGAUUCAUGCGCAGAGACUUUGCUGGGGAGCAGAGAUGACAAAAUGUAGCCUCUGCCCUGGGAGAGUUCAUGGGAGAAACGGAAGUAAGUCUGCCAGUGGGCCCUGGAGAGGUGGAGGUCGGCCCUGAAGCCCUGGGAGAUGAACCGGGGAGAGGAGUAAUGAGAAGGGUCUGAGGGGAGGGGUUCAGAGAGCUUCUUGGAGGAGGUGUAUGAAACACCGAGGCUCCAAGACUGAGAGAAUAGGAACCAGCUAGGCCAGAAAGCAGGGAAGGAUGAAGGCACAGAGAGUAGUAAGACUGGAUACAUAGAGGUGGAAUGGGGACCCGAGAAAAGUGGCUGCUGCAUUCCCCUCCAGGUCGCACUGGGGAGCCACAGAAAGACCUAGAGAAGGAAAUGAUAUCCCUGGACCUGCAUAUUAAAAUAAAAAGAACAGAAAGCCUGCUGAGGAAAGUGAUUUUCUAGAGGUUUGAAAUUAUAUUUGUGAUUUUUUUUAGAAAGUUUAACCUAUGUACAGAAAAGUGCUCAAGUCACAGAAGUGCAACAGAAAAUGUCCUCACAGACAUACCCACAGGCCCACAGACCAGCCUGAGGAAGGAUAUUUCUCAGGAACAACUGCAAAUGAAGCGCCCCUGUAUGUGAGGACAGCCCUGGGGUUGGGGGAGCAGGGACUAAAAGCUACAAAUGCUAAAAGCUCUGCAGUACAGACCUGACCCAUAGGUCCUUCUCUUAAGCCUGUAAGAGAGUGUGUGGCCCAGGACUGGACUGAACUGGAGCUCCCAGCAUGGUCUGGGGUGGAGAGAUUGAGGAAGGACUCUGUGUGAGCAGGGCAGAUCACUGGACUCUGCUUUUCUUGGCCUCCACUUUCUCUUCAACAGUCUGACAAUAGAAUUACUGCCCUCCUUGUGAUCGGAGUCUAGGGGGCUGACUUGGGGAUGAAAUGAAAAUGUGUUUAUGGUUUAGGGGUAGGGCCCAACCCAGGACAGCAUGUAGGCAAAAGCAGUGGCCAGGAAUUGACUCCAGAUUCCUUGGGGCUGGAGCUCUCUCUAUACAAAAGAAGGAAGUUGGAGAAGACUUUUAAUUCUUUUCUAUUUUUUUUCUCCUUAGAUUGUCUUUUUAGAAUCUUAAAACCCUGAUUCUUUUGUCUAAUUGGGGGACUUGAAGCAGUCUGUGGGAAAUGAAUGGCAUAUUUGAUAAUUAGGUAUCCAGUGUUGGAUGCUCGUCCUAGUUACUGUGAUAAACACCGUGACCGAAAUCAACGGGGAGGAGAGGGGUUAUUUGGAUGUCAGGGCAGGGAUGCAAGGCAGGAACUGAAGGAAAGACCGUGGUGGAGGAGCGCUUCUUACUGGCUUACUUCCUCUAGAUGCUCAGCUACGUUUCUCAUAGAGUCCUGGCCCAGGGAUGACAAUACCCACAAUGGCUUGGACCCUCCCAUAUUAAUCAGAAAUGAAGAAAAUGUCCUCACAGAUAUGCCCGCAAGCCAGUCUAAUGAACGCUAUUCCUCAAGUGAGGUUCCUUCCCUCCUCCCAAGUGACUCUCUCCUCAACUUAACAAAAAACUAACCAACAUAGCACACCUUUACUGAGGCCUGUCAUGUGUGAGACCCGCCCUGCACAGCAGACCACUUGGGAAACUUCCAGGUUAGUAUAAUAUUGUUCCAAGGAAUCUCUUCAUGUCUGAUGGCUGAAGAACUUCCGGGGCCUCAGAGAGAGCAGCAGUAGCUCAGAGUCUACUGGCAGGCACAUUAAGGGCUAAAAUACUGCUUAGGUAAAUACACCACUGCAAGUACCUGUAGUCAGCUCUUAGUGGUCACCCUAGAGUGGGUAGCAGUUGGUUGGAGUCCAGGAAGAUUGUGGGAGCUCCAGCAAAGGGUAUGUGUAAUUGCCAAACCGUUCUGUUUGUUAAGACAUCUGUGGAUAGCAGGAUCUGUCCCUACCUGCCUGGUUCUCCGGGGAGGGGGAGGGGCAGUCAGUCACUAGAACAGAGAUGGUCUCACACACCAUGUUCUUUCCCAGGCUGGAGUAAGUACAGAUGCUAGACUCAAGGGGAGAAGAGUGGUCAGGGAACAGUGCCAGUGCUGGUUGGCAUCUGGGUCAAGCCCAGAAGACUCAUGGAAGUCUCGGAGUGCCAUCUGCAUCUCAUCAGAGGGGCUCUGGGUUGACUUGAGUAGUCAGGCAACUCUGGCAGGCACUGGCUUUAAGGCAUUGACUGAGUUGGAUUUGAGAGCCCUAGAUAGAAUAUCGGGCUAAACACUACAUUUUUCAGAACCAGUUUUUCACCUGCUAACAAUAUCACAAGUGUGGAGGUUUAUACAUAGGCAUAUAUGCUGUUUUUAGGUACUGUAAUUCUUACUAAAUAGUAUUUGUAACUUAUAUUAGGAUGGGGGGUGCCAGGGGCUGUGUCUGUGUACAUCAAUUCCUAGUAAAAUGACCAGCAACUUCUCAGACUCUUUAGGCUGGGACUAAUGAGGGGAAGUUUGGGUCAAGCUGGUAUGCCUGGCGCCUACAGCUGUGUCUCAAAUACUGAGGAAUAAACGAAUUCCACUACUUGGGUUUUCUUCAGGCCAAGCCCACUGAAAUAAAGAAGCUGAGGUUUCCAGAAAAGUCUGCUCCUCCGGUGUAGUUGGCUGGUUGACUGACGGUGGUCCAGUGAUAACGUUAUUGGCCUCUGGGUCGCUUUACACCCCGGUGGAUCUCUGAAACUGCUGUGGCCCCUUUCAUCCAGCCCACUUUCUUCGUGGGACUUAAAAUUGAGCACAGAUCAUGGAAGAUUUUCAUCAUGGUCCUGGGAGUUGGACUCCUAGUACCUGCUAUGGCUACAUUAGGGUCCACCUGGCUUAUUGGCUGGUAGCUAGUUCCCUUGGGAACCAGAACAAUCUUCCUGCACAUUGAGUAAUCUGCUUCCUUUCCCUGCCCGGGGCAAGAGUCGGCUCAGGGAAAGUGAAGAAACCAGUUUGGGGCAGCACUAGGGUGGGCGUGGGCUGGGCACUGCCAGGAACUCUGCGGCAAGACCAGUUUCCAUUGCUUCCGGACCGGAUGCAGGGCUGCGAUCCGGGCGGAGACCAGAGAAUUGCGCCCGUGAGCGCACCUAUGAGAGCCACAUGUUAUUCAGCAGACUGAGUCAAGCAGAUUGUCCUCUCUAACGAGGCUAACUCUUCUCCAGUCAGUUGAAGAGAUGACCUGGACAGAAAGGUAGGAAGAAAAGAAUUGUAGCUUUGAAUAAGACUAUCAGCCUUUGGGGGCUUUGUUCGGUUUUUAUGUUCACAUUCACAAUGUAUCAAUGACCCUUCUUGGGAUGUUAGACCACCCAGCCUUGGACUGAAACCACAAUAUCCACUCUUCUCUAUCUUGGACUUCAGAUAUGGAUCAGAACUAAAUCAUAGACUCUUCCAAGUUUUCAACUGCUGACUCAUCUUGUAAAUCCUGGGACUUUCCUGAGUCUGUGGUAAAUGUCACAUGUGCUGACUCCUUAUAACCCCCCCCUCUCUUAUGCUAACUCACUGUAGAACCUUGAUAAACAACACAAUAGGAUCAUCUUUGUCUCCAUUUGAAUGUAACAUGGCUUCUUCAGCCAUCACCUGUUUUUAUCUGCAGAACAGUUCUCUGGAUCAGACAGAGCAGCCCUCUGAGAAUCCUCACCUACAGAAGAGGAAACUGAGGUCUAAGAGGGAUUCUAUCUGUGCUUCUAUGGCCUAGCUGCCCAGAAGUAGAACAACUUCAACCCCAAAGUCAAGGCCCUGCAGAAAGUCAGGAAGGGUGGAAGAACAGCUACUCUCAAUUUUUAAUAUAGCAUUGGCCAUCAAUUUAGAAACCUCUUGAUAUCCCCUGAGAAGAAAUAAAAGACUAAAAAUGUGGACUUAGGUAAAUCUUAUAAAACAAUAUAGAAGCAAGGUCUAGUAGAAAAGCUGUGUCUAGACUUAAAAGAAGAAAAGCAUUUACCAAUAUUCUAGAUGAAUCAUGGUCUAUUUGGGUUUGAAACAAUUUGAGAGGUUAUUCCUUUUGAUUCUUUCUUUUCACAGUAAGAACACUAAGGCCCAGGGAGGAUCUUUGGCUUGUCCCUCUGUACAGCUUGAGGGGAAGACACUGCCUGCUUAGAGGCCUCAUCUGUCAAUCCAACACUUGAUUGUCUACACUGCAUGCUGAUGCUGACGACCCAGAUGCAGACUGUUUCCUCCAUGUUCUGUCCUCAUGGACUGUCUCUUUGGAAUAUCCCAUGUUCAUAGAUAUCAUCUGAGAUGUCGCCACUCACGGCCCUGCAUUUGUAGUGAAGAUGCUUCAGCCUCAGACAAUCCUGUGUCUCCAUCCCAAUCCCUUCUUACUAAUAGGGGAAAUAUGGCCACACGUCUUGCUCUUCAGGCUCUGGAUUUUGUCAUCAUGGAGGCCCAAACACAGUAUUUAUGACUCAUGGUUUCUCUUGAGGACUACGAGAUGAAGCCGGCAACACAAUAUGGACACUGUAAAUGCUCUACAAAUUGAGGGACAAGCCCUGUAUUAAAGGGGGCCCAGAAUACAUACUGUGUUCAAGGCUAUGUUGAUGCCAGUUCUGUUGGCUCAUGAAGCUAGCAGUGAACCACUCCUGUAUACUGAAGUAGUGGUGACUGUCCCUGUUGCUGUAAGAAGCCCCUUUCUUCUCUGGUCCAUGCUUUUCCAUUUAUAAAAUGGGCACAGUCAGAACUCCUACUGUGCAGGAGCUGAUGGUACUGCUUGGCAAGCCAAGCAAAGGAAAUGAGUAUUCACCCACUUACUAUCUUAUCUCCUCACUUGCUAAGGAAAAGCUAAUAUAUGGUUGGUAGAGUUCAGUAUAUGAUAAGAUUAUCAUUUUAAUUAUCAUUGUCACCAAGUUUCCUGGGAUAGGUGAAGCUCUUGGAUGACAAAGACUUUGACAAAAAUAACGGAUCAAGCAUAUCAGAGGAGUCAGGUAUGGGAACACCUGCCUGUAAUCCCAGAACCUGGGGGGCAGAUGCAGGAGGACUGUUGUUUGAAUAGCCUGGGCUACCUACUGAGUUCUAGGCCAGCCUGGGCUGUAAAAUAAGAUGUUUGUUUUCUGUUUUGUUUUUGUUUUUGUUUUAAAGCAAACAAACAACAAUCUACACAAUGAAACAUUCACCAUGUCUGGAGUCAAAAUGGAAAAUAGCAUAAAUAAGAUUUGUAGA
rnacentral:sRNA from 1 species